UCUGUCUACACACGCUUCUUGUUGCUAUGUUGCAAUACCAGAUUGAAGCAAUAUAAGGAAGGACAGGUUCAUUUUCGUUCAUCGUUUCAGAGAGAUUUCAGUUCAUCACUGCAGGAAAGGCUUGCUCACAUUUAAGUGAAGUAGAGGUAUGAAGCCAUAGUCAGAAGCAGAGCUCGCUCCUGGGAACCUACUUCUGUCUGCCUGUGCCCAAAUCCUAAAAGUUCUACUACUUCAAAGUUGCACCACAAGUUAGUGACCAAGCAGUCAAAACAUGUGCCUGUGGGAAACUUGUUAAGUUCAAAAACUAACUGCUAGCAGUCCUACAUUUUGGGAAAUGAGACACAACCUCUGGGUUCCCUGACCCCUGAAAGGAUGCUUUUAUAUAGACAUCUCAUUUAGAGUGAAUUUAUCAGUUUUCCCAUUUUGAAACAUCCUGGCAUUUCUGGGAUAAAGCCGACUUGACUAUGCUAUACUUUGCUUCUCUAGCAGUGUUGGGCUUGUGCUCAGACCCAGGCCAGUCUAAUGCAUCUGAGUCAGCUUCCACUACAAUCUCUCUACAGUGUGUGAGCUCCCCAUGUAACCCAUGGCCAUUGGUGGCAACAUCAUUCAAACUGCUUAACCUUCUGCUCCUCAACUUCAGUGUGGCCAUAUCCCACCCUACCCCCCAAAGAAAAGCCCAUCAUAAGGGCAGAGUUGAAAUGCAGCGCCUGAUGAAAAUGCAGGAGUAGCAACUGCCUCUGCAUCACCUUUUUCUGAAGAAAGAGGCAGGUAUAUUCCCUUUUCACCUUCUGCAUUCCCAUGUGAGCAUCAUCCCAGAAGCAAGAAACAAUCAGUACCAGGCACUGACCUGCAGGCAUCUUGAUCAAGAGCUUCAGACUCGCAGAACACCUCACUCUUGUCAGCUGGUUCCUACACAAAAGAACUACAAGCAAGUAAGGAAUGUUGUAAGUGAGAGAGAUCAUCCUUUCCAGGGAAGAGCAGAACAACUGGUUAUUUAGUACCAAAUGCUCAUUCCAGAAAACAUAUAUACAAUUGCAAGGUUCAAAUACAACUUUUAUGUUACAGCAUUCACAGAGCAUGGGAAACAAUGAUUGCUCCAGAAGAAGCACAGAGAAGUAUUUGGUGGAUAAAGUUUAGCAUGGAUUCUUGGAUCUUAUAAAAAAGAGAAGUAGAAAUGAAAGUGUUUUCUCCCAUCAUCUCUGGUAAUCUUGAUUCCCAUCUUUGUGACUUUGAACUCUAUGCUCUGUGCUCUUGGAGGAAAGCAAAAUGUGGUCACUGUGAUUAAGUAAUUUAUCUCUUAAGCAAGAAGCUGGUACUUCUACUGGAUCACGCUGAGUGUGUCAUUCCCAGGAUCAGCAGUGGAAGAAGGCUUAUGGCUCAGACUGAGAUAACAGAUCCUGGCUGUUCAGAUGGAAAUGGGAUGUCUUUGCACAAGCAGGAUAAAAGGGAGUAUGUCUUGAAGCAAGAAAUCCCCUAAUGUGUUUGCUAGCAUGCCAUCCUGUGAUAAAACUCAAACAGAAAAUGCAGUCACAGUUGCCAAAAAGCAGCUUUGAAUCCCCAACCACUAUGGACAGAACCACAGGAGCCAACCUGCCUUCUAAGAGUAAAAGAAACGUGGGGCAGAGGUAAUAAAAAGAAGCUAUGAAUCUGAACUACAACCACACAAUAAAUUAUAAACAAGAACUCUGA